rnacentral:tRNA from 1 species
UGGGCUUUUAACCCAGAUUACGGUCAGGAUUGGCCCUCAGUUAAGCUGAGUGGCCGAGGUUGCAGGCAU